rnacentral:rRNA from 1 species
GACGAACGCUGGCGGCGUGCCUAAUACAUGCAAGUCGAGCGAACGGACGAGAACCUUGCUCCUCUGGUGUUAGCAGCGGACGGGUGAGUAACACGUGGAUAGCCUACCUAUAAGACUGGGAUAACUUCGGGAAACCGGAGCUAAUACCGGAUAAUAUUUUGAACCUCAUGUUUCACAAGUGAAAGACGCUCUUGCUUUCACUUAUAGAUGCACCCGCGCUGCAUGAUCUAGUUGGUAAGGUAACGGCUUACCAAGGCAACGAUGCAUAGCGGCCCUGAGAGGGUGAUCGCCUACACUGGACGGGGGCCACGGUCCAGACUCUUACGGGAGGCAGCAGUCGGGAAUCUUCCGCAAGGGGCGAAAGCGUAACAGAGCAAGACCGCGGGAGUGAUGAUGGUCUUCGGACGUUAAAACUCUGUUGUUAGGGAGGAACAUAUGUGUAGGUAACUGUGCAGAUAUUGACGGUACCUAAUCAGAAAGCCACGGCUAACUACGUG